AUUUACUACCUUUUUGAAUUGGUUUAUUCAUUUGAGAUUAAAAACAUACUAACUUUUAAAUUCUGCACUUUCAUCUUACUUGGACAUCAUAAAGAUUAACAGCUCCAGCAGCAACAUUGAAGAGCUUGGAGUUGCAUGAUAACUUGAAAGACAAGGAUGGCACUGCAAACUACUUGAAAGGACCUAUACUGAUCUUGUGUUAUCUGAUCGUUGCUGCCAGUUUCUUUGUUCAUGUUGAUCCGCAAUCGACUAUAGGCGCCGGCGGACUACUUGGCUUUAUGCAUGGCUUACCCACUGGCUUAACUUGCUUGAGCGAGCUAGCAAGAGGUACUGUAGGCCAUUGCACAUGGAGUCCAUUAUAUUUCCUGAAUCCUGAACCCGUAGUCUUUAACAGUUACAGCUCAAGAGGAGGAAGUAUAUCAAGACUGUUUUCUUCUGAAGAUUUUGGUGAUCCUUGCACUACGUGGACACUUGACUACUAGAGGAGGAAGUGUUCUACCCGGAACAGUAGAACGUGCUUCUUUUUUCUUUCUUUUUUUUGGAGAUAGAAGAGCAGAACGUGCUGAAACUACAUUGAAAACUCUGGAGCCAAGCUGUACUUCAUUAUCCCAUUCAUUGUCUUUGUUGUGAUAAUCAGGAAACCUUCUCUAUUGGUUAUCUCCUUAACGUUGAUGCAAAGUGUUGUGCGUCUUGUAAAGAUUGUUGCACAAUAUUGAAUGUUGAC